GGAAAGUUUAGCUUGGAUGGGCCCUUUGGAUUUCUCUGGUGCUCCCUUCACUGAAUUCUGUGUAACCACAGAAGUCCCUGGCUGUCCCUGAGGUGCCAUGUGCUGUGUGAAUGGCAGAAUUCUCAGUGUCACCUGAGACAGCCAACAUUAAAAAAAAAGGAAGUAGGGAAUGGUUUCUCCAGAGAUUUCUGCAAUUUGCUUUGUCUUGCUGGUGCGUUUGUGUUUGUAGAAUGAACCUGACUUUAAA